AGUACGGUCCUGUUGUUUAUUGACGAGCUAACGCGUCAAGUGAAACAAAGUGUAAUAUUUGUUAAAAAUACAAUUUUUUUUUUCAAAUUAUAUAAAGAAAAAAUAAUAAAAUCACCUUCGUAUAUAUCGACGUAAAUAAAUUUUACUACAAAACCUAAUAGAUAUUAGAAACGAGAAAAAAGUAAAGUGAGGUUAUGUUUAUAAAUGAACGUAUCCAAUUUCGAUGAGAUUUUGUAGUAAUAAGACCAGAAAGUGGAUAGAAUAAGGAAAAUUAGCCACAAUGAAGUGCGAUUAAAUCGACAGAACUUCGGGAAAAGAGAAAAUAUUAGAGAAAACAAACAAAAUAAACAUUUAAAAGAGAAAAAAAGUUGAAAGAGAAUGUGAAAUGUGAAAUUUGGAGGAAAACAAAUGAAAUGACUAUUCGAAAGAAAGAAAAAGAAUUUAACAAGAAAGUAAUAUAAAUAAAAACAAUUGAGGUACAUAUGUAAGAAAGUCAAUAAAAGAGAACUAGACAAAAUUGUAGAAAAAGAAAUAAUCUAAAUACAGAAAACGAUUAAACACAACUAAUAUGGUAAAAUUUGAAAAGAAACAGUUUGAAAUACUUUAGGAAACGAGAAAAUAUGAAAGAGAACUUAAUAAUGUGAAAUUUGGAGAAAAACGUAUAACAUCCAGCAGUAGGGAAGUAAAUAAGAAACAAUUAUGAUAAUUGUAGAAGAAGAAAUAAAAGUAACAAUCAAAAUACGAAGAGAUGAAAAAGAAUUUAACAAUGUGAAAUAGGGAUGAAAAUAUUUGGGGUGCAUCAAGGAGAAAGAAAAUAAAGAGACAAAAUCGUUGGAAGAAAUGAAAGAAAAAAUUUGAUUGAAAUAUUCAAGACUCACCGUUUUGUGUCAAUUUUGUCGAACAAAUAUUAUUAGAAAUACUGAAAGAGUCUUUGGUGGACAUGAUCAAACCGGGCACUUGCGGUCUCUCCUUCCCACAGUCUUUGAUAUCUUCGAUUUUCGAAGGCAAAGAAAAAUAUUCCAAACUUUUCUCGUCGAAUUUUUUAUGAUCUAUUUUAUAGACAAUCAGAUUGUGUUUGGCGUCUUUCAGCGUCGUACCGUCGUCCUCCAUCAAUUUGACAUAACACAUACCGAACGGCUUUUCGCUUUUGUCUUUCACUUCGUUCGUGGAACGGUGUUUGAAUUGGAAUUUCAAAUGACUAGUUUUGAAUUCUUCUAUCGGUAUAGCUACUUUGAACGUUUCGUGCCAUUGGGGUUUGUCUUCGUGAUAAUAUGUUA